rnacentral:rRNA from 1 species
UACGGUAGGGGCAAGCGUUGUCCGGAUUUAUUGGGCGUAAAGGGCGCGUAGGCGGCCCUCCUUGUCGCGUGUGAAAGCCCCGGGCUCAACCUGGGGAAUUGCAUUUGAGACUGUGUAGCUAGGGUGCGGAAGAGGGAAGCGGAAUUUCCGGUGUAGCGGUGAAAUGCGUAGAUAUCGGAAGGAACACCAGUGGCGAAAGCGGCUUCCUGGUCCAGCACCGACGUCAGGCACGAAAGCGUGGGGAGCAAACAGG